CUCAAAAACAUCAAUUUCUUUUUUAUUAUACCAAUUUUGCCCUCAACUCUCUCUCUCUCUCUCUGGCGUUGCCGAUCUGGAAUGCCGAAGUCGACGAUCUCAGGCUGUAAGCCGCCGACGACACUCUCGUUCGCCUACGAACCAAACCGAGCGACGGAAGCGUUGGUUGUCCAACGUCGUUGAUCCAGCUUAUCGGCUCAUCUCCGGUGGCGCCACUCAUCUUUUUACCUCUUUCUUCUCCCGAUGAAUUUCGUCAAUACCUUACCGGUGCCGAAUGUCCAGCCAUCACGGUCAGUCUCUAUUAUCUCUAUAUUAGGGUUUUGAGUUGAAAUUUCUAGGGUUAAUUUGAAAUUGGAUUCAAUUGGGGCAUUGGAUCUGACGAUUUGUGUAUAUUCAUUAAUUGAUGGGAGCAUUGGUUGAUUGAUAUUUCUGUGUGAAGUUUUAUAGAUUACUGUUUAUAAAAUUAUGACUACUGAGCUAUUCUAAUCUACACAAAUGAACGAGAUGCAAAGACCAAGGUGUAGUUAUGAAGCUAAAAAGCCGAGCGAGAGUCGGACUUCUCUCCAUGAUCAGUUUAAGCGGGCCUAUGUAGCCAAAGAAGUUUUGCCAGGAAAGGGAAUCAGCAUUAAAUUCUGAUUAAAUGAUCUUGGUUUGGUUAAUCUUAGUUUACUGUACGUUGGAGUUGCUCAGAAUUCUUCCCCUUUGCGUUGGCAAUGGUUGAUUCCGAAAAUCAUGUGAACUUGAGUAGUGGAUCCUUCAUUGACCAAGAGAUCAUCCGGCCAACCAGGAAAUUUUGAAAUGAAGCUUGGUGCUGUAGGUGGCAAAAUAAUAUUCUUAUGGUUAGUGUAGUGUGGUAGAGCUUGACAACAAGAAACUUCAACGGAGGCCAUUUGAAAAAUGAUAGUAGCAUUACAACAUUGACAAUAGCUUUAUACAACUAUUGUAAUAGCUUUUCACAACAAUGGUAGUGACUUUUUACAACUAUUGAAGUAGUUUUUUACAUAGAUAUAUCAUUGUUGAACCCUGGAUACUUUUUGUUGCAUUGAAUAUGAUUUCUUUCCUCGAUUGUAGUA